rnacentral:sRNA from 1 species
CAAUGAAAUUUGUCCUUCGGGCAAGUGAAAUACCGCUGCGCGGUGUGAAAUUUUGCUGCACAACAUGAAAUACGCU